GACGAACUGUGCAAACGUUAUUCGGAAUCACUGGGCUUGAAGAGUGCGUAGGCGGUUUCGUAAGUAGGGUGUGAAAGCCCCCAGCUCAACUGGGGAACUGCGUCCUAAACUGCGAGGCUGGAGUGAGGUAGGGGUGUGUGGAAUUUCCGGGUGUAGCGGUGAAAUGCGUAGAUAUCGGAAGGAACACCUGUGGCGAAGGCGGCCAACUGGACCAUUACUGACGCUGAGGCGCGAAAGCGUGGGGAGCAAGCAGG
rnacentral:rRNA from 1 species